rnacentral:rRNA from 1 species
GACGAACGCUGGCGGCGUGCUUAACACAUGCAAGUCGAACGGAAAGGCCCUGCUUUUGUGGGGUGCUCGAGUGGCGAACGGGUGAGUAACACGUGAGUAACCUGCCCUUGACUUUGGGAUAACUUCAGGAAACUGGGGCUAAUACCGGAUAGGAGCUCCUGCUGCAUGGUGGGGGUUGGAAAGUUUCGGCGGUUGGGGAUGGACUCGCGGCUUAUCAGCUUGUUGGUGGGGUAGUGGCUUACCAAGGCUUUGACGGGUAGCCGGCCUGAGAGGGUGACCGGCCACAGUGGGACUGAGAUACGGCCCAGACUCCUACGGGAGGCAGCAGUGGGGAAUAUUGCACAAUGGGCGGGAGCCUGAUGCAGCAACGCCGCGUGCGGGAUGACGGCCUUCGGGUUGUAAACCGCUUUCGCCUGUGACGAAGCGUGAGUGACGGUAAUGGGUAAAGAAGCACCGGCUAACUACGUG